CCGGAGCGCGGAGGGAUACGACGCACGGGGAGGAGGGGCAGCGGCGAUUCGCGGUGGCGGUGGCGGCGGGGCUGGAAGUUACCGAGUUGCGGUGUCGCAGAAAGGGGAAGCGAACGGAGCCAAAAUGCCCCCGGGGAGCGCGGCCCCGCUGGGGAGGCGGGCUGAGGAAGCCUGGCCCUGCCCCCCUCCGCCGCCCGCCGCGGCUCCCCCAGCCCCCGUAGCCAGGCUCCUCCCGGGCGCGGGGCUCCGGCGGCCCCGGGCUCCCUCAGCGCCCGGCGGGGCCUCGGGGCGCGGCGGGUUUGGCAUCUGCGCACACGCCGGACUGACGAAUCUUGUGGCUUCUAGGAGCGAUGGCAAGAGGAGUGUUGUCAACGCGAGGACAAGCGAGGGAUGGUGAUGCCUGCAACCUAUGGCUGAACUGGAGGUAAUUCACUAGCGGAUCAAUAACGUAACCGAAGGUUCCUGAAAGGCUGCAACAUUGUACAGAGCCUGAUUAGAGAUUAAACCAUUGAUUUAUUUAAUGUUUGGUAGCUUGACGAUACCGAAUAAACGCUCUGAUUCGUGCUAGAACUGUUUAUUUGCUGCUUGCAGUCAUAAAGGAAAAGGAAAUAAAAACAAAGCAAGUAAUUUUUGCUUUGUUUAAAGGUAAUUAUCGUUACCACUGAUAACUACCUUUAAAAAAAAUCCGUAACCGAUGAGGAAGGGGUAUAAAGGAGCAUAAUUACUUUAUGGCUUGCAAUGCAUCUGUGCUUUCUAAGGUCGAGUUUGGGCCUUGCCAGAACAAACGCGCUUGUGGACAAUAAGAGUGAAUGUAGCAGGAAUCGGUGUAAACAGGGGAAGCUGUCAUUUUUUAGUAUUUAUUUUGCCCCGUUUAUUAACUAAUGUAACUCGUGAGGCAAAGCCGAAAGUGUGUUUGAAAUUAUGGAGGAAUUAGACAAAGAACGCUUUGUGUGUAAGACCCUGAAGCUCACGACUGUAUAACUUUUAACAAAAUUCGAUUUCAGCCGUGUUUCUGUGCAGCUGAGGGGAGGCUGAGUUGAACAUUUUUACAUGUACGUUUCCAAGCCUCUGAGUUUGGUGUACGAGCCUCUUGCUUGAGCUUUGUGCUGGGCACGGUGAGAAAGCUGCUGCGGCCACACUUCGGCUUUAUUGGACAAACAUAUCCGUGGAAGGUUAGAGAAGGGAGGCUGAAAUGUCAGAUAUUUCCAUGAAGUCGUGUUACAGAAAGUGAUAGAAAUCAGAUUCAUGUAGCAGAUGCCGAGUCGCUAUGCAUUUUGACAUACUGUUAUAGAAUGUCCUAAAAAUUAUUAAAAUUGUAAUCUAGCAUGUGGGCUAAUCAUCAGGGUAAAUGUAUUUUGUAGGAUAGGGGGUUUUUUUAAGAUGUAAACUCGUGCGUUCUGGAUUUGAUCACUUUAUCUGUAGUGAGGCUCACUUUAUAUAUUUACAAAUGUAUGUGUGUCUCCCUUUUCCCAGUUUUUCUAACAAUAACUGCUCCGUGUUCCAGCUUUAUUUUAAAUCCACACGUCACAUAAUUGAAGUGGCAAUGAAAUCAUAUUUACCAUUUAAUAAAGAUUUAAAACAUUAAGUGACUUGUCUUUUAUUAGCGAUGUAAAAUAUGUAUUGUAGUAUCUCUCGUAGGUGGUUCUCACAACAAAGGGCCACAUGAAUAAUGCGAUUAACAUUUUAUUUUCCCUCGAUGUUUACAUAAAAUAUACUUCUGUAUGGCAUCACUAAAACUAGAAACUGAAGAACAGAGAAAUUAUAAUAGUUAAAAGAGUCUGAAAGUAGAGGAAAACUGUCCUGAAUAUACUGAACUUCUCUCUUCUUUUGGCAACUCACAACUUUUCCUGAUGCAGUUUAAAAUACAGCCCACAGUAUCAAAAUGUUGCUGGUGUUUUGACUGUAAAAUAAGGAUUGUGUCUUUUAUUUAACUAUUGUAAAGCGCUGAGCAAAAUGGAACCCCAGUCCCUGACCUGAACUCAAGCACUGCAGUACUAAAAUAAUAUUCAACAAACAGGUUUUGCAAACAUA